rnacentral:rRNA from 1 species
AUUGAACGCUGGCGGCAUGCCUUACACAUGCAAGUCGAACGGCAGCACGGGGGCAACCCUGGUGGCGAGUGGCGAACGGGUGAGUAACAUAUCGGAACAUACCCUAGAGUGGGGGAUAACGUAGCGAAAGUUACGCUAAUACCGCAUACGAUCUAAGGAUGAAAGUGGGGGAUCUUCGGACCUCAUGCUCAUGGAGUGGCCGAUAUCUGAUUAGCUAGUUGGUGAGGUAAAGGCUCACCAAAGGCGACGAUCAGUAGCUGGUUUGAGAGAACGACCAGCCACACUGGAACUGAGACACGGUCCAGACUCCUACGGAGGCAGCAGUGGGAAUUUUGGACAAUGGGGGCAACCCUGAUCCAGCAAUGCCGCGUGAGUG